GGGCCGGUAGCUCAGUUGGUCAGAGCAGCGGACUCAUAAUCCGUCGGUCGGUGGUUCGAAUCCACCCCGGCCCA
rnacentral:tRNA from 1 species